rnacentral:rRNA from 1 species
GAUGAACGCUGGCGGCGUGCCUAACACAUGCAAGUCGAACGGAAAGACCCUGCUCUUGUGGGGUGCUCGAGUGGCGAACGGGUGAGUAACACGUGAGUAACCUGCCCUUGAAUUUGGGAGAACUUCAGGAAACUGGGGCUAAUAUCGGAGAGGAUCUCCUGCUGCAUGGGGGGGGUUGGAAAGUGUCGGCUGUUGGGGAUGGACUGGCGGGUUACGAGCUAGUUGGUGGGGUAGUUGCGUACCAAGCGUUUGACGGGUAGCCGACAUGAGAGCGUGACCGGGGACCUUGGGACUGCGAGACGCAGCAGUAGGGUACGUGAGGCAAUGGUGGAAAGUAUUACACAGUGAGCGGAAGCGUGAUACGACGGCCUUGGGUGCGGAAUGACGUCCUUCGGGUUAUAAACAGCUUUCGCCUGAGACGAAGCGUGAGUGACGGUAAUGGGUCAAGAAGCACCGGCUAACUACGUG